rnacentral:piRNA from 1 species
UACUGCUUUUGGAUGUUACAG